GAGGAUCACAUAGUAUAUUUUUUUACUAGAUAGAGACCGCAAUUAGCUAGUUAAUCAGCUUACAAAAUAUUUCUGAAAAAGCGAGAAUUCCAUCCAAAAAAGAACGUGUGGCGUUCGUCGACGAAGGACUAAACGUUUUGAGCUUCGUUCUAGCAUCCCAAGUGUUCGCUUCGGAUUGCUCGGACCUGAAGUGGGUGGAUUUAAUAAUCAAUGCUGAGUUCGAGAAUAUCUGAAUUCGUUAUCCUCGGAAGGUACCUAAAAGAAAUUUGGCUGCUUUUAACAUUGCUUCAAUUUCAGUUAACAGUGCAUUAUGAACAUCUUUGAUAAAAUUCAAAACUCACAAGCAGUAAACACCUUGCUGGUUAGUAAUGAAAAAACUAGGGAUACUUGCCUAUAUACCCCCCAUACGUUUGAAAAUAUCCGAUUUAUUCUUUUUUUUUUCUUUCUAAAAUAUCCGUCAUAUGUUCCACCGUUAUUGCAAAAUACUCCAGCAGUUAUCACCUGUUAAGUUAACUUGGAUUAAACGUGAGUUAAAUAUCUACCACAGUUAAAAAAAAUUAAAAUGUUAAUUUUGCCCUUAAUUUAAGGGCAAAUAAGAAAUGUUGGUGACGGUAUAAGGGUAUAUUUGAAAUGAUCAAAAGUAAAAUACCUUUUGCGCGCCUAACUUAAGAGCAAAUAAGAAAAGUCGGUGAUGGUGAAAGGAUAUAUUUGAAAGGCAAAAUAGUAAUUUUAUACAGAUAACAUAGUUAAAAAAAAAAAAAAAAAAAACAUAGUUCAUUUUAUACAGAUAACAUAGUUCAUUAAUCCCUCCGGAAGCGCUAGCUGCUUCCACCCUGUUUCGCCUAGUUCACUUCCACUUAAUGAAUGAAGCGGGUAGCUUGCUACCUUUUCUCAAAAAAAACAUAGUUCAUUAAUAGAUUUUAACUUUAGACGUAUAUUUGAAAUAGGUUGGGACGUAAAAAGGGUAUUUUCAAUAUUAACCUUCUAAGAGAGGAAAAUCAGAAAGUCGGAAACUUUUUAGAAGUAUAUAAGCAAUUGCCCCAAAAAACUAAUUCCACCCUAGCUAAUUAAUCACCACCUUUCUAGCUAUCAUCUACCUAGACC
rnacentral:lncRNA from 1 species